rnacentral:rRNA from 1 species
GAUGAACGCUAGCGGCAGGCUUAACACAUGCAAGUCGAGGGGUAUUGGUUUUCGGACCAAGAGACCGGCGCACGGGUGCGUAACGCGUAUGCAAUCUACCUUUUGCAGAGGGAUAGCCCAGAGAAAUUUGGAUUAAUACCUCAUAGUAUAGUAGUUUCGCAUGAAACGACUAUUAAAGUUCUAACGGCAAAAUAUUAGCAUGCGUCCCAUUAGCUAGAUGGUAAGGUAACGGCUUACCAUGGCAACGAUGGGUAGGGGUCCUGAGAGGGAGAUCCCCCACACUGGUACUGAGACACGGACCAGACUCCUACGGGAGGCAGCAGUGAGGAAUAUUGGACAAUGGGCGCAGGCCUGAUCCAGCCAUGCCGCGUGCAGGAUGACGGUCCUAUGGAUUGUAAACUGCUUUUGUACAGGAAGAAACACUCCCUCGUGAGGGAGCUUGACGGUGCUGUAAGAAUAAGGAUCGGCUAACUCCGUGCCAGCCGCCGCGGUAA